rnacentral:snRNA from 1 species
CAACUUUAUCCUUCAUGUCC